CAGGUUUACGGAAUAUGUGUAAAUUUCUUUUUACACAGUCGUACUGUAGGAGCCAUUAUAUUAUAUUAUAUGCGUGGAUAUAUCUAUAAAUAUGUAUUGUGUAUCGGUCACGUAGUGUACAUGUCUGAUUGGAAAUUCGGAAAUUUCGCGUGAAAUCUAAUUUACGUAAUCCGUUAAUGCUAAUGGCAGUGACAUUUAUUUGUUGCUGUCGGUUCGGUUU